CCAGCUCGAAGGCCACGAAGCUCACUACGCACAGGAUGUCAUACAUCCGAUUUCGUGAGCGGGCUAAGGUCUGAGUAUUAUAAUCUCCCUCGAUUGGCUCUAGCAGGGCCUGGUCGUAAUGCGACCGAGCGAUGUACCAGAAAAUCAGCCUUUUCUCCUCGAUUACCCAAGAUCCUGUUAUUCAGGGGAGGUGAGGAGACUACGGCUUUGGCAUGCAUCGCGGGGAUCGGGCAGGGUUCUGGGUCGCUCUCUAUUGCCUUCAUCUCGCAGAUGUGCCCCCGAAAGGGCGCUCUGAGCGUAUAUCAGCAGCGAACGUAGCUGGCCAGACUAUCAACCAUAGCCCAUGGUCGACGUUGUUGGGUGAGAUGGGCGGUGUGAACAGUAAAACUCGGUGCAUUCAGCCUCACACUUGUCCUACGGUCAAGGUGUUGCAUAACACCAUAUCGUAGGGGGUGAUGUGUGGAUGCUAGAACCGAGGUAUUGUUCAAAUACCUUUUCUGUCCAGUGUGACGGUAUGAUGGGCUCGGUGAUGGGUCUAGCCAUAACGGCGAACUUGGUUGCUGCGCGCAAAAGAUGUUCCCUGCGAACGAGAAGGUAGUGGGCAUGGCCAUGCAGAGAACUCUUGCCCUUUAGUGCACUUCGUGGCUCACAUCUCUAUCUGGGACGUGAAACUCGAUUCAGACUACUCUCGGACUGG
rnacentral:RNase_P_RNA from 2 species